rnacentral:tRNA from 1 species
GGUAGAGCACAACCUUGCCAAGGUUGGGGUCGAGAGUUCGAAUCUCUUCGCCCGCUCCA